UACGAAGGGGGCUAGCGUUGCUCGGAAUGACUGGGCGUAAAGGGCGCGUAGGCGGCUUGCACAGUCAGGCGUGAAAUUCCUGGGCUCAACCUGGGGACUGCGCUUGAGACGUGUGGGCUUGAGUGCCGGAGAGGAAAGCGGAAUACCUGGUGUAGAGGUGAAAUUCGUAGAUAUCAGGUGGAACACCAGUGGCGAAGGCGGCUUUCUGGACGGUAACUGACGCUGAGACGCGAAAGCGUGGGGAGCAAACAGG
rnacentral:rRNA from 1 species